UAGGGAAUCUUCCGCAAUGGACGAAAGUCUGACGGAGCAACGCCGCGUGAGUGAAGAAGGAUUUCGGUUCGUAAAACUCUGUUGUUAGGGAAGAAAAAAUGUAUAGUAACUAUAUACAAAAGAGACGGUACCUAACCAGAAAGCCACGGCUAACUACGUGCCAGCAGCCGUGGUAAUACGUAGGUGGCAAGCGUUGUCCGGAAUUAUUGGGCGUAAAGCGCGCGCAGGUGGUUUAGAAAGUCUGAUGUGAAAGCCCACGGCUCAACCGUGGAGGGUCAUUGGAAACUAAUAAACUUGAGUGCAGGAGAGAAAAGUGGAAUUCCUAGUGUAGCGGUGAAAUGCGUAGAGAUUAGGAGGAACACCGGUGGCGAAAGCGGCUUUUUGGCCUGCAACUGACACUGAGGCGCGAAAGCGUGGGGAGCAAACAGG
rnacentral:rRNA from 1 species